GACGAACGCUGGCGGCGUGCUUAACACAUGCAAGUCGAACGAAGAGCGAUGGAAGCUUGCUUCUAUCAAUCUUAGUGGCGAACGGGUGAGUAACGCGUAAUCAACCUGCCCUUCAGAGGGGGACAACAGUUGGAAGCGACUGCUAAUACCGCAUACGAUCCAAUCUCGGCAUCGGGACUGGAUGAAAGGUGGCCUCUAUUUAUAAGCUAUCACUGAAGGAGGGGAUUGCGUCUGAUUAGCUAGUUGGAGGGGUAACGGCCCACCAAGGCGAUGAUCAGUAGCCGGUCUGAGAGGAUGAACGGCCACAUUGGGACUGAGACACGGCCCAGACUCCUACGGGAGGCAGCAGUGGGGAAUCUUCCGCAAUGGACGAAAGUCUGACGGAGCAACGCCGCGUGAGUGAUGACGGCCUUCGGGUUGUAAAGCUCUGUUAAUCGGGACGAAUGGUUCUUGUGCGAAUAGUGCGAGGAUUUGACGGUACCGGAAUAGAAAGCCACGGCUAACUACGUG
rnacentral:rRNA from 1 species